rnacentral:rRNA from 1 species
AGUGAAGCGGUAACAGCUCAAAUUUGAAAUCUGGCCUCACGGUCCGAGUUGUAAUUUGUAGAGGAUGCUUCGAGCAUGGUCUGGCCUAAGUUCCUUGGAACAGGACGUCAUAGAGGGUGAGAAUCCCGUAUGCGGCCAGGUGCCUACGCUCAUGUGAAGCUCCUUCGACGAGUCGAGUUGUUUGGGAAUGCAGCUCAAAAUGGGUGGUAAAUUUCAUCUAAAGCUAAAUAUUGGCCAGAGACCGAUAGCGCACAAGUAGAGUGAUCGAAAGAUGAAAAGCACUUUGGAAAGAGAGUUAAACAGUACGUGAAAUUGUUGAAAGGGAAGCGCUUGCAACCAGACUUGCGCGCGGCCGAUCAUCCGGUGUUCUCACCGGUGCACUCGGCCGUGCUCAGGCCAGCAUCGGUUUUGGCGGCUGGAUAAAGGCCCUAGGAAUGUAGCUCCUCUCGGGGAGUGUUAUAGCCUAGGGUGCAAUGCAGCCUGCUGGGACCGAGGACCGCGCUUCGGCUAGGAUGCUGGCGUAAUGGUUGUAAGCGGCCCCGUCUUGAAACACGGACCAAGGAGUCUAACAUCUAUGCGAGUGUUUGGGUGUCAAACCCAUACGCGUAAUGAAAGUGAACGGAGGUGAGAACCCUUAAGGGUGCAUCAUCGACCGGUCCUGAAGUUUACGGAAGGAUCUGAGUAAGAGCAUAGCUGUUGGGACCCGAAAGAUGGUGAACUAUGCCUGAAUAGGGUGAAGCCAGAGGAAACUCUGGUGGAGGCUCGCAGCGGUUCUGACGUGCAAAUCGAUCGUCAAAUUUGGGUAUAGGGGCGAAAGACUAAUCGAACCAUUGACCUGUAGGAACACUACUAGGUGGUUAAGAGGCGGCUAAAAGUGCCGUCUAGUCCCGACGCCGGGGCGACACUGUCAAAUUGCGGGAACAUCCUUAGAGCCUAGACUACCGCAGCCUUCCUGAAAGGGGGGUGCGCACCAGGGUAAUGACCUCGGGUAUGGUAAUAACGUCUAGGAUUGGACAAUCCGCAGCCAAGCCCUACGGACCUCGGUCUAUGGGUGCAGUUCAUCGACUAGAUGGCAGUGGGUGGCAGCAAUGCCGCUUAAGAUAUAGUCAGACCCCCGGGAGACCGGGCGGCAGAACGAAGACCGUGGGGGGCGUCCUCUCUGAGAGCCCCGCGGUCCCGAGUCUGCUGGU